CUGGAGACACUUUCCCAGCAGUCUGGAUCAAUCACUGAGAGGACAGCCUGGACUUUGUGGAGCUCUCAUACUGGCCACCCAGGGGCCCCAAAACUGCCUGAGCAGGGGCCACAGACCCCUUCUCCUCCAUGUAGGGCUCGGCCAGGACUCAGCUUGGUGGUGGGGCUUUGGGUUGGGGCUUUGGAAGGGGGUGCCAGGACUAGUUUUGGGGGGCAGACCAUGAGUGACAGGAGGAGAUCCGCAGUCACUCUCAGCUCCAGAGCUCAUGCCUUCUCGGUGGAGGCUCUGAUCGGGACAAACAAGAAGAGGAAACUCCGGGACUGGGAGGAGAAGGGCUUGGAUUUGUCCAUGGAGAGCCUGAGUCCUCAUGGAGAGCUGGGGGAAGGAGAGGACACUGCUCACUGCCUGGACCUCAACCCUGGUGAGUACCUUGCUCUGAGUGUGUCCUUUGAAACCAUUGCAGGAGAGUGUCCCUCAAAACCAUGGCAGGAGAGUGUCCUUUUAAACCAUGACAGGAGUGUGUGCCUCAAAACCAUGGGAGGAGUGUGUCCCUCAAAACCAUGGCAGGAGAGUGUCCUUUUAAACCAUGACAGGAGUGUGUGCCUCAAAACCAUGGGAGGAGUGUGUCCCUCAAAACCAUGGCAGGAGUGUGUCCCUCAAAACCAUGACAGGAGAGUGUCCUUCUAAACCAUGGCAGGAGAGUGUCCUUUUAAACCAUGACAGGAGUGUGUGCCUCAAAACCAUGGGAGGAGUGUGUCCCUCAAAACCAUGGCAGGAGUGUGUCCCUCAAAACCAUGGCAGGAGAGUGUCCUUUGAUUUAAAGCCAUUGCAGGAAUGUGUCCCUCAAAACUAUGUUAGGAGUGGGUCUAUCAAAACCAUGGCAGGAGAGUGUCCUUUGAUUUAAAGCCAUUGCAGGAAUGUGUCCCUCAAAACUAUGUUAGGAGUGGGUCUAUCAAAACCAUGGCAGGAGAGUGUCCUUUUAAACCAUGGCAGGCUGUGUCCCAUCAAACCAUGGCAGGAGCGUUUUACUCAGAUGGCCUCCAAACGGGCCUCCAUAUAACAUACAGGGAGCCAAGCAUCUCCCGGGACAUGGGAAUAGUCAGUGUAAGGUGUGGUAAGGUGCAUGUAUGUGUCAUGUAUGUGGUGUGGUGUUUCAUUUAUAUUUUCCUAAUAUUCCCCAUUCAAGUCACACUAUUUUUUUAUUAUUUACCAUAAGACUGGAUACAUUAUAUCUCCAUAUCUAUUUGUAUUUGUUAUAGAGUCCAUGUCUCUCUGUAUUACACCCUAAUAUUUGUUUUAGAGUCCAUGUCUCUCUGUAUUACACCCUAAUAUUUGUUAGGGUCCAUGUCUCUCUGUAUUACACCCUAAUAUUUGUUAUAGAGUCAAUGUCUCUCUGUAUUACACCCUAAUAUUUGUUAAAGUCCAUGUCUCUCUGUAUUACACCCUAAUAUUUGUUACAGAGUCCAUGUCUCUCUGUAUUACACCCUAAUAUUUGUUAUAGAGUCCAUGUCUCUCUGUAUUACACCCUAAUAUUUGUUAGAGUCCAUGUCUCUCUGUAUUACACCCUAAUAUUUGUUUUAGAGUCCAUGUCUCUCUGUAUUACACCCUAAUAUUUGUUUUAGAGUCCAUGUCUCUCUGUAUUACACCCUAAUAUUUGUUAGAGUCCAUGUCUCUCUGUAUUACACCCUAAUAUUUGUUAGGGUCCAUGUCUCUCUGUAUUACACCCUAAUAUUUGUUAUAGAGUCAAUGUCUCUCUGUAUUACACCCUAAUAUUUGUUUUAGAGUCCAUGUCUCUCUGUAUUACACCCUAAUAUUUGUUUUAGAGUCCAUGUCUCUCUGUAUUACACCCUAAUAUUUGUUAUAGAGUCCAUGUCUCUCUGUAUUACACCCUAAUAUUUGUUUUAGAGUCCAUGUCUCUCUGUAUUACACCCUAAUAUUUGUUUAGAGUCCAUGUCUCUCUGUAUUACACCCUAAUAUUUGUUAGAGUCCAUGUCUCUCUGUAUUACACCCUAAUAUUUGUUUUAGAGUCCAUGUCUCUCUGUAUUACACCCUAAUAUUUGUUUUAGAGUCCAUGUCUCUCUGUAUUACACCCUAAUAUUUGUUUAGAGUCCAUGUCUCUCUGUAUUACACCCUAAUAUUUGUUAGAGUCCAUGUCUCUCUGUAUUACACCCUAAUAUUUGUUUUAGAGUCCAUGUCUCUCUGUAUUACACCCUAAUAUUUGUUUUAGAGUCCAUGUCUCUCUGUAUUACACCCUAAUAUUUGUUAGAGUCCAUGUCUCUCUGUAUUACACCCUAAUAUUUGCUAGAGUCCAUGUCUCUCUGUAUUACACCCUAAUAUUUGUUUUAGAGUCCAUGUCUCUCUGUAUUACACCCUAAUAUUUGUUUUAGAGUCCAUGUCUCUCUGUAUUACACCCUAAUAUUUGUUAUAGAGUCCAUGUCUCUCUGUAUUACACCCUAAUAUUUGUUAGAGUCCAUGUCUCUCUGUAUUACACCCUAAUAUUUGUUAAAGUCCAUGUCUCUCUGUAUUACACCCUAAUAUUUGUUUUAGAGUCCAUAUGUCAGGUCACAGUGUCAGAUCCUUUAUACAUUAUAGUAUGAAUAAUAUUAUUAGUAGUAUUAUUUACUAUUAGACUGGAUACAUUCUAUCUCCAUAUCUGUUUGUACCAUCAUUUCAUAUAAUGUGUCUGUCAGUGUGUGUCUGUCAGUGUGUGUGUCAGUGUGUUUCAGUGUGUGUGUCAGUGUGUUACAGUGUGUCUGUCAGUGUGUUAGUGUGGGUAUGUCACAGUGUCUGUCAGUGUGUAACAGUGUGUCUGUCACUGUGUGUGGCAGUGUGUCUGUCAGUGUAUGUCAGUGAGUGGCAGUGUGUCUGUCAUUGUGUUAAUGUAGGUAUGUCACAGUGUCUGUCACUGUGUGUGGCAGUGUGUCUGUCAGUGUAUGUCAGUGAGUGGCAGUGUGUCUGUCAGUGUGUUAAUGUAGGUAUGUCAGACAGUGACAGUGUGUGGCAGUGUGUCUGUCAGUAUGUUAGUGUGAGUGGGACAGUGUGUCUGUCAGCGUGUCCACAGGAGUUGGCUAUAGUGCAUGUGUGUGUGUGUCUGUGCUGUUACUACUGAAUGUUUGAGUCAGCGCAUGUGCCAUUGUUAAUAAAUGUGUAUGCCAAUGAGUGCCAGGGGUAAUCAUUAUGUGUGCCAGGGAAUGCCAGUGUGAGUCUGUUGUAAGCCAGUGUUGCCAUGGAGUGCCAGUAUGAGUAUGUGUGCCAGUGUAAUCAGUAUAUGUGCUAUGGAGUGCCAGAGUCAGUGUGUGUGCCAGGGAGUGCCAGUGUCAGUGCCCGGGAGUGCCUAUGUCAGUGUGUGCCAGUGUAAUCAUGUGUGUGCCGGGAGUGCCAGUGUCAAAAUGUGUGCCAGGGAGUGUCAGUGUGUGCCGGGGAGUGCCAGUGUCAGUGUGUGUGCCAGUGUAAUCAGUGUGUGUGUGCCAGGGAGUGUCAGUGUCAGUGUGUGUGCCAGUGUAAUCAGUGUGUGUGCCAAGGAGUGCCAGUGUCAGUGUGUGUGUGCCAGGGAGUGCCAGUGUCAGUGUGUGUGCCAAUGUAAUCAGUGUGUGUGCCAGGGAGUGCCAGUGUCAGUGUGUGUGCCAGUGUCACUCAAUCUGAUUGCAUGCGAACCUUACUUCCACAGGCCCCAGUUAGUUAUAAUCUGUCUUCAAAACUGCUCAAUAUACCUCAAAACAUGGAUUUUAUAUACUUAUCAUACAUUUUAUUUGCGUUAUAAAAAAUAAAUACACAAAUUAUACUUUUUAAAAUCAUAUUAUAGCAUUGCUUGUAAAUAUAACACAUGUAAUAUAUUUUACACCUUUUAUAAAAAUGAAACCUAUGAUAGACUUCCAUAUAACAUGUGCCCGUCUGUUUAUUAUCAGUUCCCAAUAACGGAGACAGUUCUAUAGGGAGCAGAAUAAUCUCUAUAAUAAUAUCCAGUCAGUCUGGCAGUAAUGGGAGUUAUUCCUUUCUGGGGAGGGCUAUCCCUUAUAAACCUACAUUGGAGUUUGGAAAAAAUAAAUAUCAUAUAAUAUAUUAUAAUGUAAUAUAAUAUGUAAUACAAUACAAUAUACACAAUCUAGAAUAUAUCACAGAGAAUAAUACAGUAUACAGUACAUAAUAUAAUACGGUAUGUAAUGUAUAAUACAAUAUAUAACAUAGUAUAUAAAACAAUAUAUCAUACAGUAUGUAAUAUAGCAUAGAAUACAGUGUGUAGUAUAGUAUAUAGGGCAAAUUAUAUAGUAUAUAAUACAGUAUGUAAUAUAGCAUAGAAUACAGUAUUUAAUGUAAUAUAUAAUACAGCAUUUAAUAUAGUAUAUAAUACAGUAUGUAAUAUAGUUUAUAAUACAGCAUUCAAUAUAGUAUAUAAUACAGUAUUUAAUGUAAUAUAUAAUACAGCAUUUAAUAUAGUAUAUAAUACAGUAUGUAAUAUAGUAUAUAAUACAGCAUUUAAUGUAAUAUAUAAUACAGCAUUUAAUAUAGUAUAUAAUACAGUAUGUAAUAUAGUUUAUAAUACAGCAUUUAAUAUAGUAUAUAAUAAAGCAGUAAUGUAAUAUAGUUUAUAAUACAGCAUUUAAUAUAGUAUAUAAUAAAGCAUUUAAUGUAAUAUAUAAUACAGCAUUUAAUAUAGUAUAUAAUACAUGUAUAAUAUAGUAUAUAAUAAAGUAUGUAAUAUAGCAUAUAAUACAGCAUUUAAUAUAGUAUAUAAUACAUGUAUAAUAUAGCAUAUAAUACAGUAUGUAAUAUAGUAUAUAAUACAGCAUUUAAUGUAAUAUAUAAUACAGUAUGUAAUAUAGUAUAUAAUACAGCAUUUAAUAUAGUAUAUAAUACAGUAUUUAAUAUAGUAUAUAAUACAGCAUUUAAUAUAGUAUAUAAUACAUGUAUAAUAUAGUAUAUAAUACAGUAUGUAAUAUAGUAUAUAAUACAGCAUUUAAUGUAAUAUAUAAUACAGCAUUUAAUAUAGUAUAUAAUACAGUAUUUAAUAUAGUAUAUAAUACAGUAUGUAAUAUAGUAUAUAAUACAGUAUGUAAUUUAGUUUAUAAUACGGCAUUUCAUGUAGUAUAUAAUACAUAUAUAAUAUAGUAUAUAAUACAGCAUUUAAUAUAGUAUAUAAUACAGUAUGUAAUAUAGUAUAUAAUACAGUAUGUAAUAUAGUUUAUAAUACUGGCAUUUCAUGUAGUAUAUAAUACAUGUAUAAUAUAGUAUAUAAUACAGCAUUUAAUGUAAUAUAUAAUACAGCAUUUAAUAUAGUAUAUAAUACAGUAUGUAAUAUAGUAUAUAAUACAGUAUGUAAUAUAGUAUAUAAUACAGUAUGUAAUUUAGUUUAUAAUACGGCAUUUCAUGUAGUAUAUAAUACAUGUAUAAUAUAGUAUAUAAUACAGUAUGUAAUAUAGUUUAUAAUACGGCAUUUCAUGUAGUAUAUAAUACAUGUAUAAUAUAGUAUAUAAUAUGUAUAUAAUGUUGUCAUUCUCCUGAAUUCACCAAUUCCUUAAUAUCUGAUUGUCCGUUCCAUUUCUUGUUACAUUUUAUUUGUAUUUAAUGGGUUAGGGAUUCUAUAUAUUUGUGAUAUUUUAUAAAUUCAGUGUCAGAGCUAGCACUUUAUUCUGAUUUUAUAUUCACAUGAUGGUUUGUUUACGGUAAGAAUGUGAUAUUUGUGCUAAAUAUUUAGAAGCGGUAUAAACAAUACUGGGGAUUUUACAUCGUUCUAAUGGGAUACCGUGUGUUCUGUAUCUGUGUUUUAAGUUAUUACAAAAGCAGGAGUAUUUUUAAUACUUUAUGAUAUAUGUAGUGUGUUUUAAUAUAUUAUAUUACACAGUGUCCUCCUAUUAUAAUAUAUUAUAAAAUAUGUAGUGUAUUGUAGUAUAUUAUAUUACACAGUGUCCUCGUCUUAUAAUAUAUUAUAAAAUAUGUAGUGUGUUUUAGUAUAUUAUAUUACAGUGUAUUUGUGUUAUAAUAUAUUAUAAAAUAUGUAGAGUGUUUUAAUAUAUUACAUUACACAGUGUCCUCGUGUUAUAAUAUAAUAUCGGAGUGUGAUUUAAUAGAUUGUAUUACACAGUAUCCUUGUGUUAAAAUAUCUGAGUGUGAUUUAAUAUAUUGUAUUACACAGUAUCCUUGUGUUAAAAUAUCUGAGUGUGAUUUAGUAUAUUAUAUUACAGUGUCCUCCUGUUAUAAUAUAUUAUAAAGUAUGUAGUGUGUUUUAGUAUAUUAUAUUUCAGUGCCCUCGUGUUAUAAUAUAUUAUAAAAUAUGUUGUGUGAUUUAAUAUAUUGUAUUACACAGUGCCCUAGUGUUAUUAUAUAAUUUCUGGGUGUGAUUUAAUAUAUUGUAUUACACAGUGCCCUAGUGUUAUUAUAUAAUUUCUGGGUGUGAUUUAAUAUAUUAUAUUACACAGUGUCCUCGUAUUAUAAUAUAAUAUCUGAGUGUGAUUUAAUAGAUUGUAUUACACAGAGUCCUCGUGUUAUAAUAUAAUAUCGGAGUGUGAUUUAAUAUAUUGUAUUACACAGUGUCCUCGUGUUAUAAUAUAAUAUCGGAGUGUGAUUUAAUAUAUUGUAUUACACAGUGCCCUAGUGUUAUUAUAUAAUUUCUGGGUGUGAUUUAAUAUAUUAUAUUACACAGUGUCCUCGUAUUAUAAUAUAAUAUCUGAGUGUGAUUUAAUAGAUUGUAUUACACAGAGUCCUCGUGUUAUAAUAUAAUAUCGGAGUGUGAUUUAAUAUAUUGUAUUACACAGUGUCCUCGUGUUAUAAUAUAAUAUCGGAGUGUGAUUUAAUAUAUUGUAUUACACAGUGCCCUAGUGUUAUUAUAUAAUUUCUGGGUGUGAUUUAAUAUAUUAUAUUACACAGUGUCCUCGUAUUAUAAUAUAAUAUCGGAGUGCGAUUUAGCAUAUUAUAUUACAGUGUCCUCGUGUUAUAAUAUUUAUGGAGUGCGGUAUAUUAUAUCAUUAUAUUAUAGUGUCGUGUUAUAAUAUAAUAUCGGAGUGUGAUUUAAUAUAUUGUAUUACACAGUGUCCUCCUGUUAUAAUAUUUAUGGAGUGCAGUAUAUUAUAUGAUUAUAUUAUAGUAUCGUUUUGGAAUAUAGAGAGUGUGUGUUAUAUUAAUACAUAUGGAGUGUGCCUUCUCGCAUUAUAAUAUAUUAUAAUAUAUGAGUGGGAUUUAAUAAAUCACAAUAUAAUGUUAUCCCUGACAUGUAACAUACAGGGACAGGAAUCUAUAGGUAUAUUUAGGAAGUGAUUUAGGUGAUAUAAUAUGGUUGUGUAUAUUGUUUAUUUAUCAUAGUAUAUCGGUGAUUAUAUACUGCGGUCUAUUCAAUAAAAUUCGGUAAAACUGUCGAUUUUUUUCCCAGCUAAAAAUUCUGGCCUGCAUUUCAAGUGAGAUUUAACAGAAUACUCAAUAGGUCUGUGUUAGAAUCUCCUGAGCUGCUGAGGGAUAUAUUAUUUAUAAUAUACACAAAGCGGUUUAUAUAUACUUUGUAUCUUAUGUUUAGCUGAUUGUCAUAGCGUGACUGUUUAUCUAUAUAAUAAUCCACAUUAAUCUGUAUAGAGAGACUGUGUAUAUAUAAAGUCACUCAUUUAAUAUUGAUUUAUGUUAUAUCACACAUUAAAUUUAUAUAUUGACUGUGUGUAAGCAAUACAUCACUUAUGUAAUAUCUGUAUAUAUUACACGUUUAAUCUAUAGACUGUGUGCGUGUAAUAUAUCACUCAUUUAAUAUCUGUAUAUAUUACACGUUUAAUCUAUAAACUGUGUACAUGUAAUAUAUCACUCAGUUAAUACCUGUAUUUAUUAAACGUUUAAUCUAUAGACUGUGUACAUGUAAUAUAUCACUCAGUUAAUAUCUGUAUAUAUUACACGUUUAAUCUAUAGACUGUGUACAUGUAAUAUAUCACUCAGUUAAUAUCUGUAUAUAUUACACGUUUAAUCUAUAGACUGUGUACAUGUAAUAUAUCACUCAGUUAAUAUCUGUAUAUAUUACACGUUUAAUCUAUAGACUGUGUACAUGUAAUAUAUCACUCAUUUAAUAUCUGUAUAUAUUACACGUUUAAUCUAUAAACUGUGUACAUGUAAUAUAUCACUCAGUUAAUAUCUGUAUAUAUUACACGUUUAAUCUAUAGACUGUGUACAUGUAAUAUAUCACUCAUUUAAUAUCUGUAUAUAUUACACGUUUAAUCUAUAAACUGUGUGCGUGUAAUAUAUCACUCAUUUAAUAUCUGUAUAUAUUUCACGUUUAAUCUAUAGACUAUGUGCAUGUAAUAUAUCACUCAUUUAAUAUCUGUAUAUAUUACACAUGUAAUCUAUAGACUGUACUGUAUCACUCAUUUAAUAUCUGUAUAUAUUACACAUUUAAUCUAUAGACUGUGUACAUGUAAUAUAUCACUCAUUUAAUAUCUCUAUAUAUUACACGUGUAACCUAUAGAUUGUGUACAUAUGAUAUAUCACUCAUUUAAUAUCUCUAUAUAUUACAAGUAUAAUCUAUAGACUGUGUACAUGUAAUGUAUCUCUCAUUUAAUAUCUCUAUAUAUUACACUUUUAAUAUUACAUGUUUAAUCUAUAGACUGUGUACAUGUAAUGUAUCACAGAUAGGGGGUAUCACACCGGGGGUAUCACACCGAACACAUAGUGACUGUAUUAAAUAAUAUGCAAAGUGAUAUUACCAUAUUAGAAUGAUGUAAUUAGAAUGUAGCAGAGAGUAUAAAAUGUAAUAUGUAUCUAUAUAUAUAUAUAUAUAUAAAAUGUGUACUAUUUAUGCUAGGUAUAUUAUAAAAAUCGGGAAUGUGUGUAUACAGAGGAAGAGGUAUCAUUAUUAUAUUAUUACACUAGGCAGUUAAUGUAAAGCACAUGAUAUAUUUAACCUCUCAAGGACCAAAUUUAUGGAAUAAAAGGGAAUCAUGUCAUGUGUCCUUAAAGGGUUAAACGCCCGGAGAUUAUUAUAUUAUUACAUCAGUGAGUUAAUAUAAAACAGUUGAAGUAUUUAAUAUUAAUUCAUACUUUUAUUAGUGAGUUAACAGCAUUUAGGAUAUUCUGGGACAUUAUUAUAGCAAUGAUUUAAUUUACUGUAUUUAAAUACUGUGCUAUUAUUAUUAUUAUUAUUAUUGCCAUUUAUAUAGCGCCAACAGAUUCCGUAGCGCUUUACAAUAUUAUGCAAGGGGAUUUAACUAUAAAUAGGACAAUUACAAAUAAACUUACAGGAACAAUAGGUUGAAGAGGACCCUGCUCAAUUGAGCUUACAUUCUAUAGGAGGUGGGGAGUAAAACAUAUUAGGACAGGAAUGUGCAAUCAAAUAAGGUGGGCUGCCCUUUAGGAGAGGGCAAGAGAUGGGUAUGUGAGGUAGGGGUUAGUCUUGGAGGCCAUAAGCUUUCCUAAAGAGAUGGGUUUUAAGGCACUUCUUAAAAGAUGCAAGACUAGGGGAUAGUCGGAUGGCGGUAGGCAGGCUAUUCCAUAGGAAGGGAACCGCCCGCGAGAAGUCCUGCAAGCGCGAGUUGGCCGUACGGGUGCGGACAACGGACAGGAGCUGGUCACGGGCAGAGCGGAGAGACCGAGGAGGGACAUGCCUAUGGAUCUGUGAGGAGAUAUAAGAGGGGCUAGAGUUGUUCAGUGCUUUAUAGGUGUGAGUUAGUGCCUUGAAUUGACUCCUAUAGCACACAGGAAGCCAAUGUAAGGACUGGCAGAGGGGUGAGGUGUGAGAGAACCGACUAGAGAGGAAAAUCAGUCUAGCAGCAGCAUUCAUUAUAGACUGUAGGGGUGCAGUACGGCUUUUGGGUAGACCAAGCAGGAGAGGGUUACAAUAAUCCAUGCAACUUGUUAUAUUAUUGCACCAAUUAAUAUAUUAAUGAGUAAAAAAAUGCAGUUAAUGUAUUUAACCACUGGGAGAUUGUAUUAUUAUAUGGUUGAGUUAUUUUAAUAAAGUUGGGGUAUUACAACACUGGGAUAGGUUUUAUUAUUACAUGAUUGAGAUAAUAGAAUGUAGUUGGGGUAUUACAACACUGGGAUAGGUUUUAUUAUUACAUGAUUGAGAUAAUAGAAUGUAGUUGGGAUAUUACAACACUGGGAUAGUUUUAUUAUUACAUGAUUGAGAUAAUAGAAUGUAGUUGGGGUAUUACAACACUGAUAUAGGUUUUAUUAUUACAUGAUUGAGAUAAUAGAAUGUAGUUGGGGUAUUACAACACUGGGAUAGGUUUUAUUAUUACAUGAUUGAGAUAAUAGAAUGUAGUUGGAGUAUUACAACACUGGAUAUAGGUUUUAUUAUUACAUGAUUGAGAUAAUAGAAUGUAGUUGGGGUAUUACAACACUGGGAUAGGUUUUAUUAUUACAUGAUUGAGAUAAUAGAAUGUAGUUGGGGUAUUACAACACUGGGAUAGGUUUUAUUAUUACAUGAUUGAGAUAAUAGAAUGUAGUUGGGGUAUUACAACACUGGGAUAGGUUUUAUUAUUACAUGAUUGAGAUAAUAGAAUGUAGUUGGGGUAUUACAACACUGAUAUAGGUUUUAUUAUUACAUGAUUGAGAUAAUAGAAUGUAGUUGGGGUAUUACAACACAUGAUUGAGAUAAUAGAAUGUAGUUGGGAUAGGUUUUAUUAUUACAUGAUUGAGAUAAUAGAAUGUAGUUGGGGUAUUACAACACUGAUAUAGGUUUUAUUAUUACAUGAUUGAGAUAAUAGAAUGUAGUUGGGGUAUUACAACACUGGGAUAGGUUUUAUUAUUACAUGAUUGAGAUAAUAGAAUGUAGUUGGGAUAUUACAACACUGAUAUAGGUUUUAUUAUUACAUGAUUGAGAUAAUAGAAUGUAGUUGGGAUAUUACAACACUGGGAUAGGUUUUAUUAUGACAUGAUUGAGAUAAUAGAAUGUAGUUGGGAUAUUACAACACUGGGAUAGGUUUUAUUAUGACAUGAUUGAGAUAAUAGAAUGUAGUUGGGGUAUUACAACACUGGGAUAGGUUUUAUUAUGACAUGAUUGCGAUAAUAGAAUGUAGUUGGGGUAUUACAACACUGGGAUAGGUUUUAUUAUGACAUGAUUGAGAUAAUAGAAUGUAGUUGGGGUAUUACAACACUGGGAUAGGUUUUAUUAUGACAUGAUUGAGAUAAUAGAAUGUAGUUGGGGUAUUACAACACUGAUAUAGGUUUUAUUAUUACAUGAUUGAGAUAAUAGAAUGUAGUUGGGGUACUACAACACUGGGAUAUUGGUGUUUAGUUCAUUACCUGUAGAAUGUCUAAUGUAUUGCAUUUCUAAAACAAGUUGAGAAUAGAAAUAAAAUAAACCCGGUUUUAGGGCUGUGAGGGGGAAGCCUAUUAUCGCAGAGCUGUAUAAAUCCUGUAUAGAGAUCUGUAGGUAUCGCUAUAUAUUUACUAAAAAAGGGUUGCUGGGAAAUCGAAGUUCAUUUAAAAGUUCAUCCAAAAUAGUUAAACUACAAAAAUCCAAAUCGAAUAACUUGGCCUCAAACUUUAAAUUUACUUUGAAUUCUCAACAAUUGUCAUUAGAGGGGUAAUUUACUAAUGUAAGAAAUCAACGUGAAUUUCAAAUUCAAGGCCAGAGCAGCCAAACUGGAGAACUUACACAGGCUGGUUGUUUUGACAUUAAAAUUGGAAUUCAAUUUGAAGUAUCACUUCAGAAAAUAUCCCAGUUAUUAGUAAAUAUCCCAAUUAUUAAUAAAUAUCCCAGUUAUUAGUAAAUAUCCCAGUUAUUAAUAAAUAUCCCAGUUAUUAGUAAAUAUCCCAGUUAUUAAUAAAUAUCCCAGUUAUUAGUAAAUAUCCCAAUUAUUAGUAAAUAUUUCUGUUAUUAGUAAAUAUCUCUGUUAUCAGUAAAUAUCCCAAUUAUUAGUAAAUAUCUCUGUUAUCAGUAAAUACCCCAGUUAUUAGUAAAUAUUUCUGUUAUUAGUAAAUAUCACAGUUAUUAGUAAAUAUCCCAGUUAUUACUAAAUAUCACUGUUAUUACUAAAUAUCACAGGUAUUAGUAAAUAUCUCUGUUCUUAGUAAAUAUCCCAGUUAUUGAUAAAUAUCUCUGUUAUUAGUGGUCACACUGAGUGAUAUACAGAGUGCAGUUAUGGUCACACGGAGUGUUGUGUUAUACAGAGUGCAGUUAUGGUCACCGUCAGUGUUAUACAGAGUGCAGUUAUGGUCACACUGAGUGUUAUACAGAGUGCAGUUAUGGUCACACUCAGUGUUAUACAGAGUGCAGUUAUGGUCACCGUCAGUGUUAUACAGAGUGCAGUUAUGGUCACAGUCAGUGUUAUACAGAGUGCAGUUAUGGUCACACUGAGUGUUAUACAGAGUGCAGUUAUGGUCACAGUCAGUGUUAUACAGAGUGCAGUUAUGGUCACUGUCAGUGUUAUACAGAGUGCAGUUAUGGUCACAGUCAGUGUUAUACAAUGUAUCAAAAUGGUACAGUGAUACUCGAAAUUAGCAAUAUGGUCACAAAAGUGUUAUACAGAGUGCAUUAUGGUAACAGGGGUGUUAUAUAUGAGAUAGCAUGGUCACAGUCAGUGUUAUACAGAGUGCAGUAUGUCACACUGAGAUUAUAUGGAGUGCAGUUCUGGUCAACUGAAAUUCCACAAGUCAGUUAUGAAUAUUACAUGCAAUCAAUAAAACAAGGAGUGUACAUAGAACAAUAUUGGACCUCUGAAACGUAUAAGCAUGCAUAUGGUCUCAGUACUUGGUUUGGGCCCCUUUUGCAGCAAUUACUGCCUUAAUGCGGCGUGGCAUGGAAGCUAUCAGCCUGUGGCACUGCUGAGGUGUUAUGGAAGACCAGGAUGCUUCAAUAGCGGCAUUCAACUCUUCUGCAUUGUUCGGUCUCAUGUCUCUCAUCUUUCUCUUGGCAAUGCCCCAUAGAUUCUCCAUGGGGUUCAGGUCAGGCGAGUUAGCUAGCCAAUCAAGCACAGUAGUCCCACGGUCAUUGAACCAGGCUUUGGUGCUUUUGGCAGUGUCAGCAUCCCCAUAAAGCUUGUCUGUGGAAGGAAGCAUUAGGUGCUCCAAAAUCUCCAGGUAGACAGCUGCAUUGACCCUGGACUUAAUGAAGCACAGUGGACCAACACCAACAGAUGACACCAAGUCAACACAGACUGUGGAAACUUCACACUGGACUUCAAGCAUCUUGCAGUGUGUGCCUCUCCAUUCUUCGUCCAUUCUUUCCAAAUGAGAUGCAAAAGUUGCUCUCAUCAGAAAAGAGGACUUUGGACCACUGAGCAACAGACCAGGUCUGUUUUUCUUUAGCCCAGGUAAGAUGCUUCUGACAUUGUUUGUUGUUCAGGAGCGGCUUGACAAGAGGAAUACGACAUCUGAAGCCCAUGUCCAGGAUCUGUCUGUGUGUGGUGGCUCUUGAUGCACUGACUCCAGCCUCAGUCCACUCCUUGUGAAAGUCCACAACACAUUUGAAUGGCCUUUUCCUGACAAUCCUCUCCAGGCUGCGGUCAUCCCUGCUGCUUGUGCACCUUUUUCUUCCAUACGUUUCCCUUCCACAGAUCUUUCUAUUAAUGUGCUUUGAUACAGCACUUUGGGAACAUCCAACUUCCUUCGCAAUUACCUUUUGAGGCUUUCCCUCCUUAUGGAGGGUGUCAGUGAUGGUUUUCUGCACAACUGUCAGGUCAGCAGUCUUCCCCAUGAUUGUGAUUCCUACUGAACCAGACUGAGAGACCAUUUAAAGGCUCAGAAACCCUUUGCAGGUGUUAUGGCUUACUGAGCUGAUUAGAGUGGGACACUGUGAGCCUAGAAUAUUGCACCUUUUCACAAUAUUCUAAUUUACUGAGAUUGUGGAUUUGGGGUUUUCAUGAGCUGUAAGCCAUAAUCAUCGCACUUAUGACAAAUCACGGCUUGAACUAUCUUGCUUUGCAUGUAAUGCGUCUAUCUCAUAUAUUAGUUUCCCCUUUUACGUUGCAUUACUGAAAUAAAUGAACAUUUGCACGAAAUUCGAAUUUUUUGAGUAUCAGCUAUAUGUGUCUGCAUGUGAUAUAUAACUGGACUAUAUGUGUCUGUAUGUGAUAUAUAACUGAGCUAUAUGUGUCUGUAUGUGAUAUAUUACUGGACUAUAUGUGUCUGUAUGUGAUAUAUAACUGAGCUAUAUGUGUCUGUAUGUGAUAUAUAACUGAGCUAUAUGUGUCUGUAUGUGAUAUAUUACUGGACUAUAUGUGUCUGUAUGUGAUAUAUAACUGGGCUAUAUGUGUCUGUAUGUGAUGAUAUAUAACUGGGCUAUAUGUGUCUGUAUGUGAUAUAUAACUGAGUUAUAUGUGUCUGUAUGUGAUAUAUAACUGGACUAUAUGUGUCUGUAUGUGAUAUAUAACUGGGCUAUAUGUGUCUGUAUGUGAUGAUAUAUAACUGGGCUAUAUGUGUCUGUAUUUGAUAUAUAAGUGGGCUAUAUGUGUCUGUAUGUGACAUAUAACUGAGCUAUAUGUGUCUGUAUUUGAUUUAUAACUGAACUAUAUGUGUCUGUAUGUAAUAUAUAACUGAGUUAUAUGUGUCUGUAUGUGAUAUAUUACUGGACUAUAUGUGUCUGUAUGUGAUAUAUAACUGGGCUAUAUGUGUCUGUAUGUGAUAUAAAACUGAGCUACAUGUGUCUGUAUGUGAUAUAUAACUGGGCUACAUGUGCCUGUAUGUGAUAUAUAACUGGGCUAUAUGUGUCUGUAUGUGAUAUAUAACUGGCUAUAUGUGUCUGUAUUUGAUUUAUAACUGGCUAUAUGUGUCUGUAUGUGAUAUAUUACUGAGUUAUAUGUGUCUGUAUGUGAUAUAUAAGUGGGUUAUAUGUGUCUGUAUUUGAUUUAUAACUGGCUAUAUGUGUCUGUAUGUGAUAUAUAACUGAGCUAUAUGUGUCUGUAUGUGAUAUAUAACUGGCUAUAUGUGUCUGUAUGUGAUAUAUAACUGAGCUAUAUAUGUCUGUAUGUGAUAUAUAACUGGCUAUAUGUGUCUGUAUGUGAUAUAUAACUGAGCUAUAUGUGUCUGUAUGUGAUAUAUAACUGGGCUAUAUGUGUCUGUAUGUGAUAUAUAACUGGCUAUAUGUGUCUGUAUGUGAUAUAUAACUGGCUAUAUGUGUCUGUAUGUGAUAUAUAACUGCGCUAUAUAUGUCUGUAUGUGAUAUAUAACUGCGCUAUAUGUGUCUGUAUGUGAUGUAAAACUGGGCUAUAUGUGUCUGUGAUAUAUAAGUGGGCUAUAUAUGUCUGUAUUUGAUUUAUAACUGGCUAUAUGUGUCUGUAUGUGAUAUAUUACUGAGCUAUAUGUGUCUGUAUGUAAUAUAUAACUGGGCUAUAUGUGUCUGUAUGUGAUAUAUUACUGGACUAUAUGUGUCUGUAUGUGACAUAACUGGGCUAUAUGUGUCUGUAUGUAAUAUAUAAGUUGGCUAAAUAAAUCUGUAUUUGAUUUAUAACUGGCUAUAUGUCUCUGUAUGUGAUAUAUAACUGAGUUAUAUGUGUCUGUAUGGGAUAUAUAAGUGGGCUAUAUGUGUCUGUAUGUGAUAUAUUACUGGACUAAUAUGUGGGCUAUAUGUGUCUGUAUGUGAUAUAUUACUGGACUAUAUGUGUCUGUAUGUGAUAUAUAACUGAGCUAUAUGUGUCUGUAUGUAAUAUAUAACUGGGCUAUAUGUGUCUGUAUGUGAUAUAUUACUGGACUAUAUGUGUCUGUAUGUGAUAUAUAACUGAGCUAUAUGUGUCUGUAUGUGAUAUAUUACUGGACUAUAUGUGUCUGUAUGUGAUAUAUAACUGAGUUAUAUGUGUCUGUAUGGGAUAUAUAACUGGGCUAUAUGUGUCUGUAUGUGAUAUAUUACUGGACUAUACAGGGAGUGCAGAAUUAUUAGGCAAGUUGUAUUUUUGAGGAUUAAUUUUAUUAUUGAACAACAACCAUGUUCUCAAUGAACCCAAAAAACUCAUUAAUAUCAAAGCUGAAUAUUUUUGGAAGUAGUUUUUAGUUUGUUUUUAGUUAUAGCUAUGUUAGGGGGAUAUCUGUGUGCAGGUGACUAUUACUGUGCAUAAUUAUUAGGCAACUUAACAAAAAACAAAUAUAUACCCAUUUCAAUUAUUUAUUAUUACCAGUGAAACCAGUAUAACAUCUCAACAUUCACAAAUAUACAUUUCUGAUAUUCAAAAACAAAACAAAAACAAAUCAGUGACCAAUAUAGCUACCUUUCUUUGCAAGGACACUCAAAAGCCUGCCAUCCAUGGAUUCUGUCAGUGUUUUGAUCUGUUCACCAUCAACAUUGCGUGCAGCAGCAACCACAGCCUCCCAGACACUGUUCAGAGAGGUGUACUGUUUUCCUCCUUGUAAAUCUCACAUUUGAUGAUGGACCGCAGGUUCUCAAUGGGGUUCAGAUCAGGUGAACAAGGAGGCCAUGUCAUUAGAUUUUCUUCUUUUAUACCCUUUCUUGCCAGCCACGCUGUGGAGUACUUGGACGCGUGUGAUGGAGCAUUGUCCUGCAUGAAAAUCAUGUUUCUUGAAGGAUGCAGACUUCUUCCUGUACCACUGCUUGAAGAAGGUGUCUUCCAAGAACUGGCAGUAGGACUGGGAGUUGAGCUUGACUCCAUCCUCAACCCGAAAAGGCCCCACAAGCUCAUCUUUGAUGAUACCAGCCCAAACCAGUACUCCACCUCCACCUUGCUGGCGCCUGAGUCGGACUGGAGCUCUCUGCCCUUUACCAAUCCAGCCACGGCCCAUCCAUCUGGCCCAUCAAGACUCACUCUCAUUUCAUCAGUCCAUAAAACCUUAGAAAAAUCAGUCUUGAGAUAUUUCUUGGCCCAGUCUUGACGUUUCAGCUUGUGUGUCUUGUUCAGUGGUGGUCGUCUUUCAGCCUUUCUUACCUUGGCCAUGUCUCUGAGUAUUGCACACCUUGUGCUUUGGGCACUCCAGUGAUGUUGCAGCUCUGAAAUAUGGCCAAACUGGUGGCAAGUGGCAUCGUGGCAGCUGCACGCUUGACUUUUCUCAGUUCAUGGACAGUUAUUUUGCGCCUUGGUUUUUCCACACGCUUCUUGCAACCCUGUUGACUAUUUUGAAUGAAACGCUUGAUUGUUCGAUGAUCACGCUUCAGAAGCUUUGCAAUUUUAAGAGUGCUGCAUCCCUCUGCAAGAUAUCUCACUAUUUUUGACUUUUCUGAGCCUGUCAAGUCCUUCUUUGGACCCAUUUUGCCAAAGGAAAGGAAGUUGCCUAAUAAUUAUGCACACCUGAUAUAGGGUGUUGAUGUCAUUAGACCACACCCCUUCUCAUUACAGAGAUGCACAUCACCUAAUAUGCUUAAUUGGUAGUAGGCUUUCGAGCCUAUACAGCUUGGAGUAAGACAACAUGCAUAAAGAGGAUGAUGUGGUCAAAAUACUCAUUUGCCUAAUAAUUCUGCACUCCCUGUAUGUGUCUGUAUGUGACAUAUAACUGAGCUAUAUGUGUCUGUAUUUGAUUUAUAACUGAGCUAUAUGUGUCUGUAUGUAAUAUAUAACUGAGUUAUAUGUGUCUGUAUGUGAUAUAUUACUGGACUAUAUGUGUCUGUAUGUGAUAUAUAACUGGGCUAUAUGUGUCUGUAUGUGAUAUAAAACUGAGCUACAUGUGUCUGUAUGUGAUAUAUAACUGGGCUAUAUGUGCCUGUAUGUGAUAUAUAACUGGGCUAUAUGUGUCUGUAUGUGAUAUAUAACUGGCUAUAUGUGUCUGUAUUUGAUUUAUAACUGAGCUAUAUGUGUCUGUAUGUAAUAUAUAACUGAGUUAUAUGUGUCUGUAUGUGAUAUAUUACUGGACUAUAUGUGUCUGUAUGUGAUAUAAAACUGAGCUACAUGUGUCUGUAUGUGAUAUAUAACUGGGCUAUAUGUGUCUGUAUGUGAUAUAUUACUGAGUUAUAUGUGUCUGUAUGUGAUAUAUAAGUGGGUUAUAUGUGUCUGUAAUUGAUUUAUAACUGGCUAUAUGUGUCUGUAUGUGAUAUAUAACUGAGCUAUAUGUGUCUGUAUGUGAUAUAUAACUGAGCUAUAUAUGUCUGUAUGUGAUAUAUAACUGGCUAUAUGUGUCUGUAUGUGAUAUAUAACUGAGCUAUAUGUCUGUAUGUGAUGAUAUAUAACUGGCUAUAUGUGUCUGUAUGUGAUAUAUAACUGCGCUAUAUAUGUCUGUAUGUGAUAUAUAACUGCGCUAUAUGUGUCUGUAUGUGAUGUAAAACUGGGCUAUAUGUGUCUGUGAUAUAUAAGUGGGCUAUAUAUGUCUGUAUUUGAUUUAUAACUGGCUAUAUGUGUCUGUAUGUGAUAUAUUACUGAGCUAUAUGUGUCUGUAUGUAAUAUAUAACUGGGCUAUAUGUGUCUGUAUGUGAUAUAUUACUGGACUAUAUGUGUCUGUAUGUGACAUAACUGGGCUAUAUGUGUCUGUAUGUAAUAUAUAAGUUGGCUAAAUAAAUCUGUAUUUGAUUUAUAACUGGCUAUAUGUCUCUGUAUGUGAUAUAUAACUGAGUUAUAUGUGUCUGUAUGGGAUAUAUAAGUGGGCUAUAUGUGUCUGUAUGUGAUAUAUUACUGGACUAAUAUGUGGGCUAUAUGUGUCUGUAUGUGAUAUAUUACUGGACUAUAUGUGUCUGUAUGUGAUAUAUAACUGAGCUAUAUGUGUCUGUAUGUAAUAUAUAACUGGGCUAUAUGUGUCUGUAUGUGAUAUAUUACUGGACUAUAUGUGUCUGUAUGUGAUAUAUAACUGAGCUAUAUGUGUCUGUAUGUGAUAUAUUACUGGACUAUAUGUGUCUGUAUGUGAUAUAUAACUGAGUUAUAUGUGUCUGUAUGGGAUAUAUAACUGGGCUAUAUGUGUCUGUAUGUGAUAUAUUACUGGACUAUAUGUGUCUGUAUGUGACAUAUAACUGGGCUAUAUGUGUCUGUAUGUGAUAUAUUACUGGACUAUAUGUGUCUGUAUGUGAUAUAUAAGUGGGCUAUAUGUGUCUGUAUUUGAUUUAUAACUGAGCUAUAUGUGUCUGUAUGUAAUAUAUAACUGAGUUAUAUGUGUCUGUAUGUGAUAUAUUACUGCACUAUAUGUGUCUGUAUUUGAUAUAUAACUGGGCUACAUGUGUCUGUAUGUGAUAUAUAAGUGGGCUAAAUAUAUCUGUAUUUGAUUUAUAACUGGCUAUAUGUCUCUGUAUGUGAUAUAUAACUGAGUUAUAUGUGUCUGUAUGUGAUAUAUUACUGCACUAUAUGUGUCUGUAUUUGAUAUAUAACUGGGCUACAUGUGUCUGUAUGUGAUAUAUAAGUGGGCUAAAUAUAUCUGUAUUUGAUUUAUAACUGGCUAUAUGUCUCUGUAUGUGAUAUAUAACUGAGUUAUAUGUGUCUGUAUUUGAUUUAUAACUAGCUAUAUGUGUCUGUAUGUGAUAUAUAACUGGGCUAUAUGUGUCUGUAUUUGAUUUAUAACUAGCUAUAUGUGUCUGUAUGUGAUAUAUAACUGAGCAAUAUGUGUCUGUAUGUGAUAUAUAACUGGGCUAUAUGUGUCUUUAUGUGAUAUAUAACUGAGCUAUAUGUGUCUGUAUUUGAUUUAUAACUGGCUAUAUGUGUCUGUAUGUGAUAUAUAACUGAGUUAUAUGUGUCUGUAUGUGAUAUAUAACUGGGCUAUAUGUGUCUGUAUGUAAUAUAUAACUGGGCUAUAUGUGUCUGUAUGUGACAUAUAACUGGGCUAUAUGUGUCUGUAUGUGACAUAUAACUGGGCUACAUGUGUCUGUAUGUGAUAUAUAAGUGGGCUAAAUAUGUGUCUGUAUGUGAUAUAUAACUGAGCUAUAUGUGUCUGUAUUUGAUUUAUAACUGGCUAUAUGUGUCUGUAUGUGAUAUAUAACUGGGCUAUAUGUGUCUGUAUGUGAUAUAUAACUGCGCUAUAUAUGUCUGUAUGUGAUAUAUAACUGCGCUAUAUGUGUCUGUAUGUGAUGUAAAACUGGGCUUUAUGUGUCUGUGAUAUAUAAGUGGGCUAUAUGUGUCUGUAUGUGAUAUAUAACCGGCUAUAUGUGUCUGUAUGUAAUAUAUAACUGGGCUAUAUGUGUCUGUAUGUGACAUAUAACUGGGCUAUAUGUGUCUGUAUGCGACAUAUAACUGGGCUACAUGUGUCUGUAUGUGAUAUAUAAGUGGGCUAAAUAUGUGUCUGUAUGUGAUAUAUAACUGAGCUAUAUGUGUCUGUAUUUGAUUUAUAACUGGCUAUAUGUGUCUGUAUGUGAUAUAUAACUGAGUUAUAUGUGUCUGUAUGUGAUAUAUAACUGGGCUAUAUGUGUCUAUAUGUGAUGUAUAACUGGGCUAUAUGUGUCUAUAUGUGAUAUAUAACUGGGCUAUAUGUGUCUGUAUGUGAUAUAUUACUGAGUUAUAUGUGUCUGUAUGUGAUAUAUAAGUGGGCUAUAUGUGUCUGUAUUUGAUUUAUAACUGGCUAUAUGUGUCUGUAUGUGAUAUAUUACUGAGUUAUAUGUGUCUGUAUGUGAUAUAUAAGUGGGCUAUAUGUGUCUGUAUGUGAUAUAUAACUGAGCAAUAUGUGUCUGUAUGUGAUAUAUAACUGGACUAUAUGUGUCUGUAUGUGAUAUAUAACUGAGCAAUAUGUGUCUGUAUGUGAUAUAUAACUGAGCUAUAUGUGUCUGUAUGUGAUAUAUAACUGGCUAUAUGUGUCUAUAUGUGAUAUAUAACCGGCUAUAUGUGUCUGUAUGUGAUAUAUAACUGAGCUAUAUGUCUGUAUAUGAUUUAUAACUGGCUAUAUGUGUCUGUAUGUGAUAUAUAACUGAGCUAUAUGUGUCUGUAUGUAAUAUAUAACUGGGCUAUAUGUGUCUGUAUGUGAUAAAUUACUGGACUAUAUGUGUCUGUAUGUGACAUAACUGGGCUACAUGUGUCUGUAUGUAAUAUAUAAGUUGGCUAAUUAUAUCUGUAUUUGAUUUAUAACUGGCUAUAUGUCUCUGUAUGUGAUAUAUAACUGAGUUAUAUGUGUCUGUAUGUGAUAUAUUACUGGACUAUAUGUGUCUGUAUGUGAUAUAUUACUGGACUUUAUGUGUCUGUAUGUGAUAUAUAAGUGGGCUAUAUGUGUCUGUAUUUGAUUUAUAACUGAGCUAUAUGUGUCUGUAUGUGAUAUAUUACUGGACUAUAUGUGUCUGUAUUUGAUAUAUAACUGGGCUAUAUGUGUCUGUAUGUGAUAUAUAAGUGGGCUAAAUAUAUCUGUAUUUGAUUUAUAACUGGCUAUAUGUCUCUGUAUGUGAUAUAUAACUGGGCUAUAUGCGUCUGUAUUUGAUUUAUAACUAGCUAUAUGUGUCUGUAUGUGAUAUAUAACUGAGCAAUAUGUGUCUGUAUGUGAUAUAUAACUGGGCUAUAUGUGUCUGUAUGUGAUAUAUAACUGAGCUAUAUGUGUCUGUAUUUGAUUUAUAACUGGCUAUAUGUGUCUGUAUGUGAUAUAUAACUGAGUUAUAUGUGUCUGUAUGUGAUAUAUAACCGGCUAUAUGUGUCUGUAUUUGAUUUAUAACUAGCUAUAUGUGUCUGUAUGUGAUAUAUAACUGAGCAAUAUGUGUCUGUAUGUGAUAUAUAACUGGGCUAUAUGUGUCUGUAUGUAAUAUAUAACUGGGCUAUAUGUGUCUGUAUGUGACAUAUAACUGGGCUAUAUGUGUCUGUAUGUGACAUAUAACUGGGCUACAUGUGUCUGUAUGUGAUAUAUAAGUGGGCUAAAUAUGUGUCUGUAUGUGAUAUAUAACUGAGCUAUAUGUGUCUGUAUUUGAUUUAUAACUGGCUAUAUGUGUCUGUAUGUGAUAUAUAACUGGGCUAUAUGUGUCUAUAUGUGAUGUAUAACUGGGCUAUAUGUGUCUAUAUGUGAUAUAUAACUGGGCUAUAUGUGUCUGUAUGUGAUAUAUUACUGAGUUAUAUGUGUCUGUAUGUGAUAUAUAAGUGGGCUAUAUGUGUCUGUAUGUGAUAUAUAACCGGCUAUAUGUGUCUGUAUGUAAUAUAUAACUGGGCUAUAUGUGUCUGUAUGUGACAUAUAACUGGGCUAUAUGUGUCUGUAUGCGACAUAUAACUGGGCUACAUGUGUCUGUAUGUGAUAUAUAAGUGGGCUAAAUAUGUGUCUGUAUGUGAUAUAUAACUGAGCUAUAUGUGUCUGUAUUUGAUUUAUAACUGGCUAUAUGUGUCUGUAUGUGAUAUAUAACUGGGCUAUAUGUGUCUAUAUGUGAUGUAUAACUGGGCUAUAUGUGUCUAUAUGUGAUAUAUAACUGGGCUAUAUGUGUCUGUAUGUGAUAUAUUACUGAGUUAUAUGUGUCUGUAUGUGAUAUAUAAGUGGGCUAUAUGUGUCUGUAUUUGAUUUAUAACUGGCUAUAUGUGUCUGUAUGUGAUAUAUAACUGAGCAAUAUGUGUCUGUAUGUGAUAUAUAACUGGCUAUAUGUGUCUAUAUGUGAUAUAUAACCGGCUAUAUGUGUCUGUAUGUGAUAUAUAACUGGGCUAUAUGUGUCUAUAUGUGAUAUAUAACUGGGCUAUAUGUGUCUGUAUUUGAUUUAUAACUGGCUAUAUGUGUCUAUAUGUGAUAUAUAACUGGGCUAUAUAUGUCAUGUAGGCCUCACCAUUCAGCCUGAACCAGCGUUUCGGGCUGGCUAAUAUCAAUUAUGUGCCAUUUAUUGACUAGGAGUGGCCAGCUGACACUCUCAGCCAAUAAAUGAUGACUAGAUUGGCUUCUGGCUUGGUUUACUACAUUACUGGAUAACUGGACCAGGGUACUCCUGGUACCAUAGACACAGUGGUCUGUAGUGGUUAUGGUGCAUAAAGUAACCCCUUAGGGUAAAUCAAUGUCACACUUACACAAGUCUUUUUGCCAUAGUCUGGUGGGUCACAUAGAAACACAUGCUUAUACAUUAGGGUCUCCUGUGAUCAAUAUACAAUGAAGGCCUUUUAGUAAAGUCGGAAUAACCAAGUAUUCAAUGGGACGACCAAAAUAACUGGAAAAUUCCACACUCUUCAGUUUUCAAUUCAACUCUUAAAAUGAACUUUCAAAAAACAUAAUUUCCUUUGAUUUCACUUUAAUUCUGUACGAUUUCCACUUUAGUGAGAGCCCUUGUAAUGCUGUGUGCACAGAUGUGUACCAUUAAUUGUUAUGACAUUGUAACAAACUGAGUUUAGACCAUAUUUGAAUGUGCUGCAGUUUGUAGUUAUGAUUGUGUCUUGUUAUAGAAUGUGUGUAACACAAACAGAAUCUGUCAAUUAAUAUGUAAACAAUUUGCCUACACAAUGAACACACGUGUGUGAUUUAAUUUCUUGGGAAUCUGUAAAUGAGGAUUAAGAUGGGCCAAGCGCUCUAUAGCAGUGAUUAUUUGUAGCUAUUCUCCAACUUUCAGUGUGUGUCGUCAGAUUGAACAAUUGGUACUUUUACAAACGUAAAAAAAAAAAUGACAGACUCCAGACACAUAAAGAACGUCAACAAGCUAUGUGGACUGUAUGGAGUGUUCCCUUAAUAUUCGCCGUUAUUAACGUAACUACACAAAGCACUAGUGCAUAACUCCCAACAUUGAAAGGAAUACAAUUGGGAUACGCUGGCCAGUCUGAGGGGGCAUCACCACUGACAAGUCUUGCAUCACAGGUGGGACAAUAGGGAACUAAAUCGAGAAGGCGGGCCAGGACCCUGAAAAUUCCACUGAAUAAAAUUAUACAUUGUACAUUGAUCUUUGUACCUUGAUUUCUGGUGUUUUACACAUAUUUACUACACGUAUCUGUAACAAUUUUGUUUCAGCUAGUCAUUUUAUUUUCAGCUAGUUUGCGUCUAUUUGUGGCAUGUGGCAUGUGGCGACCUACCAGUGGUUUGGUUACUGGUUGCUGGCCCAUAUUACACAGAAUUAAAGAAUUUCUCUGUACUGGGGAAAGGGUAGCAAGGAAAAAAGGACAGAAGCUUAUUUGUUAAUGCGUAGCAGAAAUUUGGAUUUUUGGGGAUGAAUCAUCGGAUCUUCUUAUAAUGUACAGUGGAAUAAUAUACGUGUUUUGUACUAUAUACUGUAUAGAAAAAAAUAUAUAAUAUAACUCAGACAUGGGUUUCAUACAGAAAACAAGACAACCCAAUGUUCCUGCACUGACACUUGGAUACUUACCUACACAGUCCGUCCUCCAUAAGUUGUUACCUAAAACACAGUUUUUUGAUGAUUCAAAUACCAGCUUUAACCUGUUUUCUAAAGGAGAAUUUCAGCCAAUAAAUGACUUUAAAUAUAGAUGAAAUUGAUAACUUCUAAGCCUCAGCGACCCCUGGUGUUGGCCAAAUCAUGCAGAAAUGAACAUGAACUGACUGAUGGUGCAUCAUAACCACAGCAAUGACAUGUAGUGGUUAUGGUGUUCAGACUGCCCUUUAAAUAAUGUAAGCAAUCUUAUGUUAUUAAUAUCAGCCUUUUUAUUUGUUUAUUUCCUUUUGUUAUAUAAAUAUGUAGAUAUAUUCAAAUAAUUUUGACUGCAUACUCUGCUAGUAUCAAUUAGUUAUUCAUACUGUUUAUUCCUUAGCUGAAUACAUAUCAGGAUUUAUUAACUAAACACAGUAUUGUAGGAGAUUAAAAACCAAGAAUUGCAGAACUGGGUUAACAAAAGCACAUUCUGAAUGGAUCUGAGGUGAAGAAUUUCCAUAACUUUUUUGGCCUCAGUUUUGUAGUUUGAUUUUCAGUUCCAUAUAAUUCAAUGUUUGAUUAUUUAGUUUGCAUUAACCCGUAUGGGGCUGUAGGUUUAGAGAGGCCUAACUGCACAUAUUGCACUUUUAUUGCACCAUGUAUGACAUCGAAGGAUUUAGAUUGGCUAAACACUAAACUGGGGCUCAAAAUAACACGUUUGUUAAGGUAUUAAUCAUAAAAGUUUUUGCACUGCAUGAGCACUUUAUAACACAAAUUGGAUUCUGGUUGUAAUUUGAAUUUUUUCGAACGUUGGGACACUCCUGAAAGUGAAAUUUCUCAAAUCACUUGUUGGUUUUUUUUAAGCACUACAUUAUAAUCGUAUAUCUUAUGUUUUUAGAGUGUUUUUGAGGUUGACAUUGGACUGUGGUUAGUAGCUCAGAGAUUUAAGAUACACCAUUACAAAUUAUUUUAAAGAACUUUUUAUAUACCUCAACAUCACUAAAUUGUGGCUACUUGACAACCAGCUGGCAAUAUUUAAAUAUAAAUCUCUGAUCGAGCUGUAGAGUUGUAUACAUUUUUUCGAGAUUCCCCGCUAGUUUGGUUACUUUUUUCCUUAAUUCUGAAAGCCUGAUAUUAAAAGCCAGUCCUCCAAAUGUGAAACCGUAUAGAGCUGUGUGAGUUCCCAUACUCCUCCGAGAAAAAUCAUGUGUUUUGCUUCCUCAUGUUUCUGCUGUCUUGAAUCCAAACUACCAAACCAGCGGCUUUUGGAAAAAACAGUUCCCAGGCUUUGUCCCCCGCUGGCGAGAUCCUUGUCGAUUGAGAUGCAGGAACAAAUACUGAUGGUUGAUGGGAUCAGUCAGGAAUCUUGGCAAAUAGAUUAUAUUUUCUAUUUUGAUCUCUAGUAAAAUAAACCAGAUUGUGAUAUGCGUUCAGUUGGAGCCACUGUGUUGGGCCUUCCAUAAUCUGGAGAUUAUAGUGUUACAGUGUUAAAUAUAAAGAAAGAUUCUCCUGGUUUUCCACGGCUAAUCAUAAUGCAUUUUCCAUUUCAGCUUUUAGUAGUGAAACAGCACUGAUUUCGGAGACUGGAG